rnacentral:ncRNA from 1 species
CCGCCCGUCACACUAUAGGAGCUGGCCAUGUUUGAAGUCAUUACCCUUAACCGUAAGGAGGGGGAUGCCUAAGGCUAGGCUUGCGACUGGAGUGAAGUCGUAACAAGGUAGCCGUACUGGAAGGUGCGGCUG